GACGAACGCUGGCGGCGUGCUUAACACAUGCAAGUCGAACGGAGUGGCGAACGGGUGAGUAACACGUUGGUGACCUGCCUUGCACUUCGGGAUAAGCAUGGGAAACUGGGUCUAAUACCGGAUAGUGCAAGAUGAGCUCGCGGCCUAUCAGCUGGUGGGUGGGGUAAUGGCCUACCAAGGCGUCGAGGGGUAGCCGGACUGGGAGGGUGUACGGCCACCUUGGGACGGUGUUACGGCCCAGACCCCUACGGGGGGCAGGAGGGGGGACUAUUGCACGAUGGUCGGACGCAUGAUGAAGCGACGCCGCGUGGGGGAUGAAGGCCUUCGGGUUGUAAACUCCUUUCGACAGGGACGCGGUACCUGUAUAAGAAGCACCGGCUAACUACGUGCCAGCCGCCGCGGUAAUUC
rnacentral:rRNA from 1 species